GACGAACGCUGGCGGCGUGCUUAACACAUGCAAGUCGAACGGAAAGGCCCUGCUUUUGUGGGGUGCUCGAGUGGCGAACGGGUGAGUAACACGUGAGUAACCUGCCCUUGACUUUGGGAUAACUUCAGGAAACUGGGGCUAAUACCGGAUAGGAGCUCCUGCUGCAUGGUGGGGGUUGGAAAGUUUCGGCGGUUGGGGAUGGACUCGCGGCUUAUCAGCUUGUUGGUGGGGUAGUGGCUUACCAAGGCUUUGACGGGUAGCCGGCCUGAGAGGGUGACCGGCCACAUUGGGACUGAGAUACGGCCGAGACUCCUACGGGAGGCAGCAGUGGGGAAUAUUGCACAAUGGGCGGAAGCCUGAUGCAGCAACGCCGCGUGCGGGAUGACGGCCUUCGGGUUGUAAACCGCUUUCGCAUGUGACGAAGCGUGAGUGACGGUAAUGGGUAAAGAAGCACCGGCUAACUACGUG
rnacentral:rRNA from 1 species